rnacentral:rRNA from 1 species
UACCAGCACCCCGAGUGGUCGGGGCGUUUAUUAGGCCUAAAGCAUCCGUAGCCGGUUCUACAAGUCUUCCGUUAAAUCCACCUGCUUAACAGAUGGGCUGCGGAAGAUACUAUAGAGCUAGGAGGCGGGAGAGGCAAGCGGUACUCGAUGGGUAGGGGUAAAAUCCGUUGAUCCAUUGAAGACCACCAGUGGCGAAGGCGGCUUGCCAGAACGCGCUCGACGGUGAGGGAUGAAAGCUGGGGGAGCAAACCGG